UAGGAAGCUAUUGCUGGAAACACCAAUAUUGCAUGUUCUCACUUAUAAGUGGGUGCUGAAUGAUGAGAAUUUAUGAACACAAAGGGCAACAACAGACACUAAAGCCUACUUGAGGGUGGAGGGUGGGAGGAGGGAGAGGAUCAGA